CAGAAAAUUGACACCCCUAAAAAAAGUAAAAAGAUUAAACGCAUCGUCUAGUGUCUUCUCUGCAAAGGGCGGGGCUCAUUUGGAGCUGGGGACUGGGUCGUAGAGAGAAGGAGCGCCAUCGACGAGGCCCCAUGGAGUUCGUGAUGCAGUCAAUAAGUGAAUCCACUUUCCUGGAGGAGGUAGGAUAGAGCUUUGUGCCGCCCCUGUGCCGGCAGCGGUGACGAGGGGCGAUAUGGUGGCGGAGCAGGAGGUGGUGGAGCAGGAACGGGCGGUGGACAGCAUCGAAGCUCUGAUCUUGGCGGCCAAGGUAGCAGUAGCGGCGAACAGGAGAGGGAGCUUUUCCCCGACGUCGAGCCGUCAACUGGGAAGAUGAAUCCCCGGGCGCCUGGAUGGAAUAAGAGGCUGAUGCAGAGGAGGGAUUUUUUUUUCAAGUUUUGGGGAUUCUCUCUGCUUGAGGAGGUAGGGGAGAGUUUGGUGCCGGCCCUUGUGGCUGUGAAUGGCCUUGCGGUGGUGGAUUUGGAGGUGCCACAGCAGGCGGAGCACAAGGCGGCACAACAUUGGCCAGUGGACAGCAGUGAAGAACAGAUCUUCUCGACGAAGGAGGCAGUGGCCGACAGAAGGGAGAGCUCGCGUCCAACUUUGGAGCUGUCAAUGGGGAAGAUGAAUCCCCAAGCGCCGGGGUGGAAUGAGUGGUUAGUGAAGAGCAACUUGCAUCGCAUCAGAGAAUCAAGGAUUUAGGGAAAUAGAACUAGUCAUGACUUACGAAAUCCUACAAUUAGAGCAAGUGCUGAUUGCUCUCUGCAUUCAUAAAAUUCAUGCUAAAUGUGCCUGUGUUUGCUAGCUGUGACGGUGGUGCAAAGUGGCAUGUGCUGAAGAAAGCAAAGGACUCAUUGAGAGCUCUGUACACUAAAAAGUGUGAGUACAGAGCAGAAUCUCAUAAAGUGGUAAUCCACAUGCUAAUAGUAGAUGAAUUUGAGAGAGGGUGGGAGAUGUUGCUGGAUAAAUACAAAGCUCAGGUCACACCCUUACAUGAUGCAGUUGUUCGAGAUUAGGCAGAAAUGGUAUAAGCCUUACUUUAAGGGCGUGUUCAGCGCCGGAGAUCUCAGGCUAUGCUGGUUUUAGUUUUGGUCUGCAGCUUGUUCAGCGCCGGAGAUUGAUCUGGGCGACGACAUAGCCGGGGGCGAAGAAAUGGAGUUCCUGAUGCAACCAAUUUGUAGGCUUCCCUUUGCGCCUUACACGCUCGGUUCUUUUACGGAGUUUUGUUGGAAAUUUGUGUCAUGAUUCGAUAUUGAGCUAACGGGCAGAUCAGUGCAGGGGAGGAGGUGCCUGUCAUUGAAGCACAGGGUGAAGCGCAAGCAUCCGAGCAGUCUGUUGGUCAAACUGACCCAAAAACUCUAGGAUGGACAAGAAGGUAAUCUCUUGGUCAUGCGUGAUUGGAUACCCGAUGUCAAGCCGUACGUGGAAGUGCUCGAAUUGCAUGUUCAUAAUUGGCUUACAGCUUACUGGAUGACAAUUUAGUUAACGAACCUCUGGAAAAGGAAAAUCUGUGUGCACAGGGUUUGGAUCCUGAUUGAAUGUUAAGUAGGAUGUGGCAGUAUAAAAAUUUGUAGAUAUAUGUCAAAUCAGGUUGCAUGAAUUGGGAAAUGUGAUUUGAGAGCAACACGGGUUCUAGCUUGGGUCUAUGAUAGUGGAAUGUAUUACAUUGGCUAGAGUAUGAUUUUUUUAGUUAAAUUGGAACUUACGGUAUAAGAUAAGAUACAAGAUAAGCUUUGUGAUUUCAGGGAUGAGUGUGUAUAAAGCUUGUACCUUUUAUGGAUUCACGAACAAUUGCUUGCAUCAGAUGGAAUCAUUGGGAAGAACUGAAUCAAUAGAAAGAACACAACAGUGCCUUUGGGUGAGUAUGGAUUGAUGACCAGUGCUUAAACAUUAACUCUUCUCUGGAGGGUGAGGAUUGGUGCUGCUGCUCCUGGCAGGACGCCGUGUCCAGAUUGCACGAGCGCUCUCGAGAAGGAAAUCUGCAGCUUCACAGAGAACCCAGGAGACAUUGUGAUUGUGCAUGCGUUGGGGUACAAGCUUUGAUACAUUGGGCGAGGCUUACGACUUGUACAAGCUGUACUCGUGGGAGAAGGGAUCCGGUAUCAGAUACGAAAUGAGCAAAUGUGGAGAGGACAAAGUGCAUGCAAGAAACCUCUUGUGGCUGUGCGGUAUGUAUUCUUGUAUUUCCUGAACUACAUAUGUCCGUAAUUGAAGCAUGGACAAACAAUUGAGGCUCAUAUGUUCUCGUGGACCAUUGAUUUUGCAGACGGUGAUGUCGUGCUUUCAGGCACAUGUUUAUGUGUGCACUCUGAUGAGUAUUUCCUAGAAAUAAAAGAAAAAAAAUGAUCCAUUUCAUGACUAUGAAUUUACAUGAAGUUUGCGUGGGAUAUGUAGAGCUACCUGAAUUUAUAGUUUGUUAUUACAGGCGACGGGAUAUAAAACAGUUUUGGAAGUGUGCUUGCAUUCUGAAGACUGUAUUGCCAUCAUGAUGGUUGCAUGCUGAAUUUUGAAAUAGAUAUAAGCUGGUUAACUUUGCUUGUUGAUUGGGCCAUGGAAUUGAAUGUUGAAUAUAUAGCAGGGUGGGCGUGUGACAAGUGUGUGCCUUACUGCGCGCCAAGAACCGUGACGAACCACUACGAAUUUCGAAUGGCAAGAGCGGGAGAAAGUGAUGCUGUUUAACAGAACCAGCAGCAGCAGAGCCACUUCUGAACUGUGUGUCCCCAUUUGAUACACUGCUUCCUGAAGGUAGAAGAAGGCUGAAGAAAGGAGCGCAGCAACUGGUAAUGGCUCCUUCCGUGCUAUUCGUCUCUGAAUCUGCCAUUACUAAAGAGGCAAUAACUCGGAUGCAGCUUCCAAGCCGCAAAUAGUAUUUGAAGAGGUAAAUCUAUUCAUAUAGAAAUGUUGAUCUAAGUUGGAUUUGUGGCAACAUUCAAUUAACGGGGUAGCUGGUGUGCAUGGUUCUUAUGGAUCUGAAAGCACGAUUAACCAGGUCGUGCGGUUAGUCACGAGGAGCGAAGGUCCAACAGCGAGGCGCAAUAAAUGGGUUAUCUGCCGCCGUGAGUCCAGAAUCUCUAAUUUCACGGCGCGCUACGUUGGGACAUGUCUGAGUCGGAGAACAUGUGGCUAACAACGUAAUGCGCUAUUCGUUGUUCAGAAGUGGGCCAGUGGGACCGUUCAAAAAGUGAUAUACCGGAGUAAUACCUAAGCCUGUACUUGUCAGGGUGCGAAUCUCGAUGAGAAUAGACGGGGCAGAUAUAGAGUCCAUCUGAGCUCGAGCUUAGAAUAACACUUUUGCUACAAUUGCUCUUUUAUAUUCUUUCACUUUCUUGCC